ACUUGGAGGGUCCUUCUUUCUUUUAUUUAUUUAUUAAAUACUAUAUUUACAUAGUAUAGCCGUGCGGCUGUACUAUAUUUUUCUUUUUUAAAAAUAGUCUAGCCGGGCGGCUAUACUUUUUGGGGACACGUGGCGCCUAAUCGCUGGAGGCUCCUUUUUUAAGACCAAAAAAUAGUACAGCCGCACGGCUAUACUCGGUGUUUUUUAAAAAGUCGACACGUGGCGCCUUUUUUUAUUAAAAAUAGUAUAGCCGCACGGCUAUACUCAGUUUUUUUUUUUUUUUAAAUUUUUUUUUUUUUUUUUUUUUUUUUUAAUGAAAAG
rnacentral:lncRNA from 1 species